rnacentral:tRNA from 1 species
GCUUCUGUAGCUCAGUGGUAGAGCGCAUCCUUGGUAAGGAUGAGGUCGCGGGUUCAAGUCCCGCCAGAAGCU